UUUGGGGCGAAGUGAAAGUGAAACCCCUUAUUAGAAUCUAAUGUUCGAAACCCUCCGGAGUCGUAAAGACAAAGCCACUUCACUUCAGCUUCACUCAUGAACUGUAGAGUUGUCACCUUCCCGACGGUAUCUCUUCAAUACCUUUCCACAAAUCCUACCCGCGGAACCCUAAUUGCUUUGAAUUACGGUUCUCGAUUUCUUUCCCGGCAUUCAAUUCUUGAAUCACAGGUUCCAUGGAAGAAAGCUUUGCUACCACUAGCUGUGAAGAGCAGGAAGCUAGAAAUCAGGUGUUUAGCCGACGGUGAUGGUGGUACAGGAAAGUGGGUGAAGUGGGUUCCCAAAGGAGCUGUGGCGGAAAGGAUUUUGAGAUUAAUCUCUGGUGCAACUUCGAGUCCCAUUAGCCAGUACGUGUCUUCGCCUACAACAUUUUUGCAUUCGGUGGACCCCAGAAUCAAAUUGGUAUGGCUUCUUACUCUUGUACUGUUGCCGGCGAGGUCACAUAUUCUCAUGCGCUUUGGAUUAGUUAUUUACUUAGCCCUUCUGUCAAUUUGGAUACUCCCGAAGAAUAUGUGGAUGGAUCAAUUGGGAAGAGUUGCCUUGCUCUCUGGGGUUUUAUUUCUAAUGUUGGGAUUGGGCUCAGAUGGUGUACCUCCGCUUGUCCAGUUAAGAACCCCACCACCAGCAAUGAUGGGUUUGCCUAAUAUUCCUACAUCUUUGGGAGGUUAUUCUUAUGUUGUUAUGAAGCUAGGGCCGCUAAAGCUUACAAGGAAAGGCUUAUCGGUGGCAAGCACAUCUGCAUGUUUAACCUUCACUAUCUUCCAAAGUGCAACCCUUUGUUUGACUACCACAACUCCGGAGCAGCUGGCAUCUGCUUUGCAGUGGUUUAUGAAACCUUUGAUUCUCAUUGGUGUUCCAGUUUCUGAAGUUAUCCUUACCCUAUUGCUCUCUUUGAGGUUUAUCAAUCUAGUGUUUGAUGAGGUCCGUAAUGCUGCCUUAGGGAUUGUAGCACGCAGGAUAAAUUGGAAGCAGUUGACAAUAAUGGAAACAGUUGAUGUUUUUUUCAUGUAUGUUCGUCGAAUCUUCAAAAAUAUUUUUAGCAAUGCUGAGCAGAUCUCUCAGGCAAUGAUUGUCAGAGGUUUUCGUGGGAACAGCAAUUCUCACAAAAUUUACUUACCAAACAAACCCAUUGGGAUGGCAGAUUUUGUUUCAUUAUUGUGCCUUCUUGGUUUAGUAGGUGCCACUGUUCUGUCUGAAUCCUCCCUUACCUAAUAACUCUCAACCAUGAAUUGGCAUCUUUUGGUUCCAGUGGAGAUGACAUGGUACAUUCACAAGCUCAGAUUAGUCCACUUGUGGGAUUUCAUGAUGAAAGCACUCGAGUGUCGUUCUCUCUUACGGGGAAGGCAUAAUUGAUGGAUUAAUUACUUUGCUCCACUGCUCCUAUUCUGGCCAUUAUGCUGAAUGCUGAUUAGUAUAAUAAUUUACCCAGAAUACAACAAGGAAUUGACAACUAUUUAUCUUAUUAUGAAAUGGUUGAUACUAGUUUCUGUGAAACUCGCCUCAAGUUGCCUUAUUUAAUUUAUAUUUGCAUUUUUUUUUUUUUUGGUACAUAAUCUAUGAUCCAUUUGAGUGUAAACAAACCUGCAGAAAACACACUUUUUCAACAAAGGAAUUUUUUUACUGGAACCGACAAGCAAAUGUUCUAUUAUUAAGAAAUGUUAAAAUGUUGGAAAAAAAAGUAGAAUAUCAACUUUGCUUGAGCCAUUUUUCUGGAAGCAUCCGAUCUUGGUCAGUAAAUUGACUAUCAACUGUUGAAUUGCAACCA